UCAGUCGGUCUCUCUAUCUGCACAGUCUGCAACUUGAGUUUUUACUGGUAUGUGUGGAUAUUAGACAGAGCCACGACAUACAUAUAUCGGUCCAUCGGUCUAGACCACGGACAGUGGCACAGAGACCUCGUCUACCCACGAUAGUAUGCGUUGGUGAGCAACUAGUGAGAGGAAAAGAUUCGGUCGAUGUAUAUAUAGAAUGCACAUCCUGGCAGCAGAAAAGACACUUCUAUCAUCUGUCACCGUGCAAGUUGUUUCUAUAGAUUACGUAAAAGUGUUAAACCAAGGUAAAUACUGAGGAAGAUGUGAUGUGAGUAACGAUGGUUCAUCUAUCUCCAUCCCUCGAGGACAGUGAGAAUCUUUGGUGGUAAUAUUUCAAUAACAACAAUUCCACCAUUUCGAGCGGUUGUUUGACUACCGUGACCCCAGGAAUAAUUGAAAUUGAUAUGGAAAAAAAAUCUAUGGACACGAUGUACGAUUGCUGGUAUCAUUAGCAACAUUGCUUGGAGAAGUUCCGUUCCUACCUCACCUUGUGCCAGAUCGUUACCCAGUUAUCACGGUGAGUUGCUAACCAUUAAACGACGUCGAUAUCCUUCCCCAUCCCACCAACACAGUGGUGAAUCUCACGAGUAAAAGCUACAAUCGUCACGUACAGCUGCUAUAUGAUCUUCCCCCUCAUCUUGAUUGUAUUCAACUGGUACAGACUACCACACUUUCAGGCAUAUUGCUGGGAAAAAAAAAAAAGAAGAAAAUUUUAUGAACUACGACAUGAAAGAUGCCCAAGUUUUGGUUCAACUGUUCUAAACGGAAUUUCCUCGUCAAAGUCACUACGUGCUUACUCUGCAUUUAGCGCUGAAUUGCUAGAGGCAAAAUUAAUACCCUACCCUUUCCGACGGAAACCUCUGACUGCAGAUACUCUGUGUUUAACUUGGAACAACAUUCAACGGUUUGAACGUUGGCGAGGGGAGGUAAAAAUGUGGAGGAAGUGGAAGAACGCUGAUGGAAUGUUUCAAAAUAUUUGUGAAGGAUUUUGCGAAACAUAUUGUCGGGGCCAUUGUGAAUGACAGGUACAUGAUUGAGGGGCAUUUAAGCCACUUGCAACUUUGUAAUUGUUAAGGGUGAGUUAAGAAAGUAGAGAAUCCCUAUUUCGCGUUAUUCCAGCGAUGUUACGAGUAUAUUAUAUAUUCCUCCAUAAUAUUGUUUUAUUUACCGAUACUAAUAUUUAAAAUCGAAAUUAUUAGAAACAAAUCAAUACAAUCAAUUGACAAAAAUUUCAAGAUUCUAAAAAAUUAGAAUUAAUAGAAUUAUUCCCACAGAAAAUAAUUUCCUGAUGUAAAAGUAUUUUUUUUAUUUUUACCCUAACGACGAAAAUCUGAGAGAAGGUUGAACUGAUAAUUGCGCAAUAUUUAAAAACACUCAUUUACUCUAUUACGAAACCCAUCAUCAUGGUAUUGUAACCGGCAGGUAGUUUUAUCCGACCGAAAAAAUAUUCUAUCACAACUCACUUCGUUAUUCGAUGAUGGAACCUGCCCCACGGCAAGGUUAAUACUGCGCAAUUAUAAAACAAUGUCAACUUGUUUUACGUAUGUCUACUCAAUGAUCAUGAGACAGUCAUGCAAGUAAUGAUCCACUUUAAGCACAACUCGGUUUUUCGAUUAUACUUGGUGCUUGCGCAACGCCAAAUUUAUUCAAAUCGAUACCCUCCCUCCACAUAAUUAUCGGGAUCCAAAGGGCAGAUGUAGCGUCAAUAGGUUAAAUUUUAUUCCACGAGAAUUGUCUAGUACCCGGAGGCUGUCUCGAUUUUACCCGAUGACGCAAAUUGUUGUUUGGAUGCGCGAGGUCGUGCAAGAGGUGCGGAGAAAGGGACUUUUGAAAAAGACCAAUGACGAGUGAGACCGGUUUCCGAUAGCGUUAAAAAUUCAGAAAGCCGAGGGUAGAGUAAAUUCGUUAAAGUGCAGAUAAAUAAUAAUAUUGAAUAAUUUAGAUAGCAUUCCAGGGAUAGAUGUUAUCAGAUUAAUGAUUUUUGCAUUCUGCGGAUGGCAGGAUGAUUAUUAACAACGAAACCAGUGAUGCAAUGAUAUUCCUA